GACGAACGCUGGCGGCGUGCUUAACACAUGCAAGUCGAACGGAAAGGCCCUGCUUUUGUGGGGUGCUCGAGUGGCGAACGGGUGAGUAACACGUGAGUAACCUGCCCUUGACUUUGGGAUAACUUCAGGAAACUGGGGCUAAUACCGGAUAGGAGCUCCUGCUGCAUGGUGGGGGUUGGAAAGUUUCGGCGGUUGGGGAUGGACUCGCGGCUUAUCAGCUUGUUGGUGGGGUAGUGGCUUACCAAGGCUUUGACGGGUAGCCGGCCUGAGAGGGUGACCGGCCACAUUGGGACUGGGAUACGGCCCAGACUCCUACGGGAGGCAGCAGUGGGGAAUAUGGCACAAUGGGCGGAAGCCUGAUGCAGCAACGCCGCGUGCGGGAUGACGGCCUUCGGGUGGUAAACCGCUUUCGCCUGUGACGAAGCGUGAGUGACGGUAAUGGGGAAAGAAGCACCGGCUAACUACGU
rnacentral:rRNA from 1 species